rnacentral:sRNA from 1 species
UCGGUAGCGGCCAGAACAGACAGCCUGGGCCCCGCCGCAGGCUGAGUCAGAAUCUUUGGGAGUAGUGACCAAGUUCUGCUUUUGGAAAAACCUCUACAGGCGGUUCUGAGAAGUCCAAGGGUUGCUGGGAGAGGUUGCAGGUUGCACGCCAGGGCCUGUACUGACCACCUCCACGUGCCACUGGGGCUCUAAGGAGGAAUGGCGGCCGUGGGCAGCCUGCUUGGUCCUCGCUAUUGUCCACUGUCCCCUGUGCUGGAAGCUUUGUGCCCUUGCUCAGCCUGGCAGCCUCUUCCUGGCUAGGGGGCCAGAACAGCUCUGACCACAGCCUGCAACUCGUGAGGAAGCCCUGAGGCUCAUCCUGCCCCUGGCACGGGUCACCAGCUCUGCCGGCUGAGGCAGAGCACCGUGAAGGCCACUGGACCUGCACUCCGCCACCUGCACGCAUCCUCCUGGCGAGCUGACAGCAGCAGG